GAUGGAAUAGGAAUAAAUCCUGCACAGACUGCUGGAAAUGUUUUCCUAAAGCAUGGUUCAGAACUGCGAAUUAUUCCUAGAGAUCGUGUUGGAAGUUGUUAAUAUCCUCUACUUAAAGAUAGAAUUACCUUUCAAAAUAAAUAUUGGGCAUUGCUGUUGUAAAACUGACAUCAGGCAUUUAAAAUACUGUGAAAACACCAAUAAUUGAUGAAAUAAUGAAAGCUACCCCGAUCAAGAAAUAGUUUCUCAAUGUGCCAUGUUCUAAUGCCUUCAUGACUUUACUUUUUUUACUCCUCUGCCUGGGAACCUAACACUCAUUCUUCAAGUUGAAAAGCCAUUGGGCCUUUCCUCUCAAGAAGUUGGGUAUUCAACUAUCUAAGUAACAGUUGUAUUUUGUACAUUCCUUCAUUAUAGCAAUUGUUAAAUAAAGAAUCAUAAUGUUUAUCUCUGAUUGAAACUGAAUUUUAUAAAAGCAUUAAAAUUUCCAAACUGUUUUGCCCAAAGUAGAUAGUAGGUACUUUAUAACUAAAAGACUACUUAAAAGAAUGAAAGAUUUGAAAGUUGCAACUAUUUGUGACUCAAAUGUAAUAACUUCUUUAGCCACAAUUAUUUGAUUAUCCAAUAUACUCAUAUUCCUCACCAUUUCUUAUAUCAGGGGACUUAAUCUGUCUCAGAAAUGAAUUAAUCACUUUUAAAAAUGAAAGCAUCUUCCCAUUUUUUAAACAAAUAUAUGAAUUAUUAGCUAUAUCAUGGAUUGCUAAAUACUGGACAUGAAUUAUGAAUAAAAUCCCUUUACCUGGGCUCCCUAAACUGUAUUCAUAUCAAAGCAGCAAAAUCUACCAAAGUAAUAAUUAUAUAGAAGUGAAGAUUCACAGCACACCAUUUUUUUAAUGUGCUUGGCACAGUACUAAGUACUUGACAUACAUUAUUUAAUUCUUUAUAAAAUGCUAGUGCUAACUUUUUACUGUUAAGGAAGCCAAAAUUUAAGUUAAUGUAUCCAAAGUUAUGAAAUUUGCUCCUGGGUAUAUAUGAUUAUAAAGUCCACCCAGUAAAUCAAUACCCAUUUCCCAUCAUUUUCCUAGAAUUAUAUUGAAAGGUACUCAAACUUAUUAUUGAACAUUUUUAUGAUCUCACUUUGCUUGAGAAAUUUGACAUUCAAUAAUCUCCAUAAACACACUUAUAGACUCUUUUAGUAAAUACACACAUACGAAUUUAUAGCAACAAAUAAUUGCAAACAGUUGAAAAGUAGGUUUAUGUCUCUAUAAUCUGCUUUGCUAUAUAGAGGAUAUGAUUUUAUCAUAUCCACUGGCUGAGGUUGACAGACAGCUGCAGAGAGCUAGUUUUGGUCAUAAAUCUCUGAUUUUCUGGCAAAAGUUGUUAGCAAUAUAGAAGCUGUUAUUGAGAGCAUAUUGUGGUGAUACAUUAUGUCAAUAUUUAUUUGAACAAGGAACACUGCAUUUAAUAAAUUAAUUCUUAAGUGCACAAUUUAAAAUUGAUGAGCUGUUUUAGAAAUAAACUAUAUGAUAUUUGUCAUCAGUGCCACAAACAUUUUGAUGUCAUUAAUGGAAAUGCUAGCUUCUCUUAUUUUCUAGAUAAACAUGAAAGGAACUGGGCUUUUAAACUUCUCCUUAAAUGUGUAAAUUAAGUAGUAAUGAAAUGUAAGAGACAAUGAAUAAAUGAGUGAGUCACAAGGGUUUUAAUCCUUUGUGACUGCUGUGAUAAAUUUGUAUUAUCUGCUGGACUGUUUUAUACAACAUUGUCAGUUUGGCUGACCUAGUAUUACAAA